UUGAAAAGCGCAAAAACAAAAGAAGAAUCACAAAAACAAAUUGAGAAGCACAAUUACAUUAAGAAAACCGGAAAGGGUAGGUACCAGUCGGCAACAGGAGACAUCACUGAUUGGAUGUCCGCGCUGUUCAUCUUUGGAACCGGAAGUUACUCUGCCUGUAGCGCAUUUUUUUCAAACAUGAACAUUAGCGGUGACCCAAACAUAGCUGUCGCUAUUAGAGAAUAUUUUGAUUCAGGACAUACAUACGAGGUGAUACUGGAUAUGCUCAAGUGUAAUCAUGACAUUUCAAUUAGUAUGCGUACACUGAAAACGCAUUUAAAAGAAUCUGGACUGUACAGACGAGGCAACUAUUCUCCACUUCCUGAGGUGAGGCGUGCCAUUUUGUCCGAGCUUCGAGGACCAGGACAAUUGUUUGGAUAUCGGACCAUGUGGCAAGUUCUCAAACAAAAACACAAGCUGCGUGUCAAGCGUGAUGUAGUUAUGAGGCUGUUGAGACAACUAAAUCCUCAAGGAAUCGCUUUGAGAACUCGAAGGAGGUUCACAAGACGCACGUAUCACUCCAUGGGGCCCAAUUACAUAUGGCAUGUAGAUGGCUAUGAUAAACUAAAACCCUUUGGCCCUGUCAGGAUGUAUAGAUGGCUUUUCAAGAAGACUGAUGUGGCUUGUGUGUGGAGCAACAAACAACAACCCGGCUGUUAUAGCUCACAAUUAUAUAAACUGUGUAAAGAGUCUUGGUGUGAUACCAAUGAGAUUACGAACAGACUUCGGGACUGAGAAUGGGACUAUGGCAGCAAUACAGUGUACCCUCCGUCACGCGCACACGGACUAUUAUGCUGGAUCGUCAAGCCACAGUUACGGAUCAUCUACUGGGAAUCAGCGCAUCGAGUCAUGGUGGUCUUAUUUCAGAAGAGGAAGAUAUGGUUCAAGAGACUGUGGAUUUGCUGUUGAGGAGAGGGAACUGGAUGUGUUUCCCGAGGAGGGGCUACCGGUUGGAUUGUGUGGUGAUCCAAACAUUGAGGAAUAUUUACAACACAAACACACUGCAGCAGCCACAAGACUGGGAAUCGGCCACAGAACUGUAUUUGGCCCUGAAGGACAUAGCUGGGUUUUAGAUACCAACUGAACUUCAGUUUGUAAUGACAUUUGUCAGAGUUACUCUGACGAAGACACACACGGUGUCGAAACGUUAGUUUCUUUCCUUUUUUUGCACCUAAUAAAACCUUUGGACUUAC